AUACGUAGGUGACAAGCGUUAUCCGGAUUUACUGGGCGUAAAGGGCGUGUAGGCGGUCUUGCAAGUCAGAAGUGAAAUUCCUGAGCUCAACUCGGGCGCUGCUUCUGAAACUGCAGGACUUGAGUGCUGGAGGGGAUAGCGGAAUUCCUAGUGGAGCGGUAAAAUGCGCAGAUAUUAGGAAGAACACCGGUGGCGAAGGCGGCUAUCUGGACAGUAACUGACGCUGAGGCGCGAAAGCGUGGGGAGCAAACAGGAUUAGAUACCCUGGUAGUCCUAGCCGUAAACGAUGAAUACUAGGUGUAGGGGGUAUCGACUCCCUCUGUGCCGCAGUUAACACAAUAAGUAUUCCGCCUGGGGAGUACGGCCGCAAGGUUGAAACUCAAAUGAAUUGACGGGG
rnacentral:rRNA from 1 species